AAUCCAUGACCACCUAGGAAUUCCAGGUUGCCACAUUAUGACAAUUUCACUGGGGCUUCUGGGAUAGAACUCAGCUCCUCCCGCUCCAAAAGCUCAAUCCCCUACAUCUGCAGUUAGAAGAGAACCUCUGUUAGCAGUCUAGGUCUAUGACACACAGUUGAGCAGUUCCAAUUCUAUCCAGCAGAGAGCAACACACACACUAGCCAGGUCCUCUCCGCCUAAGUGGCCAAAGUCCAUCCCACAACAACGCAGGACUGGUCUCUACCGUGUAUUUUCCCAUUGCUUUGUCCAGUCUGUACCAUUUUCAAAUGACUCCCUCACCCAUUGCAGUGGGAGAUGUACUUCAACUGUCCAACAGCAGUAAAGCUACAACACUGAGGAGCAGAGAAAGCAGAUGUGUUUUGUACUGAAGAAAAUAAUACUGUUCAUCAGUCAAUUUCAAACAGCUCUACAACGGAGAUGCAUAAAUGGAGCUUCAGAGAAAUAAAAAGAUUUCCCGGAGAUUAUGUGCUCACAGCAAGUCAGUAACAGAGCCAGGAACAGACCCCAGGAGUCCUACCUCCCUAACCACAGCUCUAAGCACUGAACUUCACACUCCCUCCCCAUGUUAGGAGAUGCUCCCCAGCCAUCCAGUUGUCCCUGGCAAAAUAAUGCACCAGCUCUUCCCAGGCCAACAUCAGAAAACUGGGAAAGCAAAUCUAUUUUUCAAAUAAAUUGCUUGCAAGUGAGAGGAACAGGAAACAACCACCCCUUGAAGACAUUCAAUAUUCCAAAGGUGAAAUUCACCCUUCUGCUGAGGGACAGGAUAGGGGUGGAUUUCCUCCAGUAUCUGUGCAACCGUUUGAUAGAAACUACAACUGGACUUAAGUUGGUUUAAUGCUGGAUUCUCUGUAA